CGUCGACUGGUUAUUUCCCUCCAAAGAUACUACCUGACGUGCUAAGUUCCUUCAGCAUUUUGUGUGUGUUGCACCAGAUUCCAGCAUCUGCAGAGUUUCUAAUGUCUAAAUAUUUAAGAUAUUUGGAGGUCCCAUGAGGUGUAUGAGGACAUGCAUGAGUUCUAUGUGUUUCGAAGUGGAUGGUGAGUCCUGUAUGAGAUCUAAAAUGGGUAGGUGCUAAUUGAAAUAGGUGGGUGGGUAGUUUGAGUUGCUGUACAUUAUUUCUGUUUAUGCUGUUUACAGUUGGUUUUCAGAUGUUCUUGUUGGAAGAAUUCAGUUCCUGUACAGAUGAUUCUCCUCCAAUUUGUGUGGUCUUGGUCCAGGGACUCCCAUGAGUUACUUGAUGUUGCACUUUCUCCAGGAUAAGAUACCUUUAUUAGUCACAUCUUUUCUGUAGAGUGUUCUGGGGGCAGCCCACAAGUGCUGCCACGCUUCUGGCGCCAACAUUUUGAGGAAGUGCUUUUGGAGUUUUCUCUGGGCUCCUGGAAAUUAUUCGGCAUGGCAGAAUUCUGAACUGAGGACAUUUUUUGGGAAUUCGUUGUCUGAAUGCAGACAAUGUGGCCUGUUCAGUGGGGUUGUCUGAAUGUGGUAUGUGUGUUAGUGCAGGAAUAGUUGGCCAGAGAAAGAACACUGACAUUUAUUCACCUGUCCUCUCAGAGGAUCCUUUGAAGGGUAAAGCAUAUGCUGGUGCACUGGAGGCAGAAGUGGACUUCAAAAUCAACAUCAGCCCUCGCUGAAAGUCGACAUUUGAGAUAUGAAGCACAAGUCAUGUCUUCCAAGAUUUUGCCACUGACCUUGAUCGACCAGGCUGUUGCUGUUUGAUGAGAAUGGGUUGGUGAAGGAUGUUUGUCUUCAGGAUGUUGUCGUAAGAACCCCAUUCUGUCAUAUGCUUCAAAUGAGGUAUCUCCAAUUGUUUGGAGUGUGACCUCCAGGUGAUUUUACACAUUAAUUCUAUGCAAUCGGGGAGCUUGUUUGAAGAUGAGAUGAGGCAUUGUGCCAAAGAAGAUUGAGAAGACGGUUGGUGAGAUGCCAGAUCCCCAAUUUCUCUCAAGACUGUAGUCUGGAACAAAAAAAAAUUGCUGGAAGAACUCAGCAAGUCAGUCAGCAUCUGUGAAGGCAGAGGGAUGGCCAACGUUUCAAGUUGAGAUCUGCAUCAGGACUU